rnacentral:lncRNA from 1 species
GGGUUGGAAAAUAGCAUAGAAUAAAUUUCUUUCAACAAGUUUACCCAACUUUGCAGUGCCACUCUUACUUUAAGAAGAAAAAGAUUGCACACAAUUUCUCAGUUUUCAGUGCAAUGAAACUGGAUCUUGGAAAAACACAUCAGUCAUUAAUCAUUGAUAGAAAUGUGAGCUAAAGAAAUAUUUGUACCAAAAUUUUGAGGUGAAAACUCUUAAUUUAUCAUUAAAUUGAAAACAUAUUUCUAGGCUGUGUUUGCUGAAUUAGCAAAAAAGUAACAAAAGAAGACAUUCAGAUCAGCCUUGGAUUCUACCAUUUCCAUAUCGAUGCUAUGGACAGGAUUAUCAAUGGUAAUCUAUCGCCUGAAUUCUUGCGAUGCUUGAAAAUAGCUCUUUGUUUCUUGGAUUUUAAAGCCUCUGAUGAUCUGAGAAGAUAUCUUCAUGAAAACGUAGAUCAAGGUACAUUGAGAAAUUUUUACUUCAAAGCUUACUUAUCUCAGUUACAGCGAAACACGCACUUAUGAAUGUACAUCUACUCUACUUUGUUGCCAAAUGUAUAUUAAACGUUAGACAACUUAAUGUAUAUUGGAAAUUGCAAUUGUAUAUUAUCUAAUUUAUUACUAGCAGUUGAUGAUUCAAUUUUAGUUGCAAAAAUAGAGAAAACUCUCAAGUUUACCUUCAGUUAAUUUUAUUGUACUGCCACCAAGGUAUCUGCAAGAAAUCCAUGUCCCAAAAUAAUAUAUCGGAGUACUUUCUACUGCUGUCAUUAUGUAUGGCUGCCGUUUUUGUCAUGAAUACCUUUGUAUUUCGGAGAAUAAGGAGAAAAAUUUUUAAAAGAAUUUGACCAUCUCAUGCAUGAAAUUUUAUUUUAUUUCGUAUUUUUUUGCCAUUUUGAGACAGGAUUUCUGGCUUCUCAUUCAAAUUACACAUAUUACUGUUGUGCUGGAGUUUAUACAUUUCAUUUUAUAUUUAGCUCUUGACCUAUCAUAUGUAAAUCUUAAAUGAUCAAAUGGCCCUAUUUUAUAAGAAUAAUGCAAAUAUAUCUGAAAAAUUCU